rnacentral:rRNA from 1 species
GACGAACGCUGGCGGCGUGCUUAACACAUGCAAGUCGAACGGAAAGGCCCUGCUUUUGUGGGGUGCUCGAGUGGCGAACGGGUGAGUAACACGUGAGUAACCUGCCCUUGACUUUGGGAUAACUUCAGGAAACUGGGGCUAAUACCGGAUAGGAGCUCCUGCUGCAUGGUGGGGGUUGGAAAGUUUCGGCGGUUGGGGAUGGACUCGCGGCUUAUCAGCUUGUUGGUGGGGUAGUGGCUUACCAAGGCUUUGACGGGUAGCCGGCCUGAGAGGGUGACCGGGCAACUUGGGACUGAGGUACGGCCCCGACUCCUUCCGGAGGCAGGAGUGGGGGAUAAUGCACAAUGGGCGGAAGCCCGAUGGAGGAACCGCGGGUUGGGGAUGGCGGGCUUCGGGGUGGUAACCGCUUUCGGCUGUGACGAAGCGUGAGUGACGGUAAUGGGUAAAGAAGCACCGGCUAACUACGUG